UCUAGAACUCGAGAUAUGGGCUGAACACUGAACAGUGUUUGGGCUGCAGGAUAGAUUCAGACUUCUCUUUUGAUGUUAAGAUUUGGACUUCCAAAAGAUAUAAUUGAGUCUUGGACUCCCAUGAAUGUUUUAGGCCUAUUUCUUAGCUUUCUAGC
rfam:Populus trichocarpa scaffold_18_contig_155, whole genome shotgun sequence.